rnacentral:lncRNA from 1 species
GUGACUUCCACUUGCCGGAAAGACCCGGGCUGGCUAGCGUUUUUAAGGCGCGGAGUGGGUUUUGUUUGUGAAUGACUGCUUCGGUCGGCGGAGACGGACCUGUGAAACGAAGUGAGCUUCAAGCUACAUUCCUCAGGCUUGAGCCGGAGACCUGAGAGUGAAAAAUGUAGGAGUGAAGGAAAAAGAAACCUGAGAUAGUUUCUCAGGCUUUCCUCUGCCGGCUCGCCGGUUGCCUUCCCCUCCGCAGUCAGUAACUAACCCGUUAGACCUCGGCUGGAGCGUUAAUUCCUAAAAGCAUAUCCUGGCGCUCAGCUUACUUUUUCAUCACCCGGUGGGACUGAAAUGCAGAUUCUCUCCGCUGACUGAGGAUUGAUCCUGCUUCCUGGGCAAAGUCUUCUAGUCUAGCAUUAAGGAGACGAGAUGACUCCAUCCAGUCUGAACAUCCAGCUCCCAAGACUACCCUCCACUCAUCCAUCACACGAUUUACAUUUGUCCUUUGGAUAACCAUGUUAACCUUCUACGUUCCAUUCAUAUUCUGAUAUCUCUUUGUCCUCUUAUGUGCCGUGGUGUAAUUAUAUGCCUUAUAUUAAUAAUUGCUUUUAACUUUUUUCUUUUUGCAGUACAGUAGCUAUACAUACAGUGGCAGCACAUCACUAUGCAAAUGAUCAUGAUGAUGAUUUCUAAUAGCCAGCUUUGUUGAGGACUUAUUUGCAGUGUGUCAGGCAUUGUGCUAAAUACUAAUGUGUAAGGUAGAUAUCCCACCUUCACAAAUGAAGAUAUCAAGGCUUAUGGACAUAAAGUAAUUUUCCUAAGUCACAUAGUCAACUAGUGGCAGAGCUGGAACUUAAAAGUAAGUCUGUCUGGCCCAGAGUAUUCUUAACUACUGUGUGGCUAACCUGCAGAUACAGUGUUGAUGAUGAGUUCUAAUUUCCC